rnacentral:rRNA from 1 species
AGAGUUUGAUCCUGGCUCAGGACGAACGCUGGCGGCGUGCUUAACACAUGCAAGUCGAACGGAAAGGCCCUUUCGGGGGUACUCGAGUGGCGAACGGGUGAGUAACACGUGGGUGAUCUGCCCUGCACUUUGGGAUAAGCCUGGGAAACUGGGUCUAAUACCGAAUACACCCUGCUGGUCGCAUGGCCUGGUAGGGGAAAGCUUUUGCGGUGUGGGAUGGGCCCGCGGCCUAUCAGCUUGUUGGUGGGGUGAUGGCCUACCAAGGCGACGACGGGUAGCCGGCCUGAGAGGGUGACCGGCCACACUGGGACUGAGAUACGGCCCAGACUCCUACGGGAGGCAGCAGUGGGGAAUAUUGCACAAUGGGCGCAAGCCUGAUGCAGCGACGCCGCGUGAGGGAUGACGGCCUUCGGGUUGUAAACCUCUUUCAGCACAGACGAAGCGCAAGUGACGGUAUGUGCAGAAGAAGGACCGGCCAACUACGUGCCAGCAGCCGCGGUAAUACGUAGGGUCCGAGCGUUGUCCGGAAUUACUGGGCGUAAAGAGCUCGUAGGUGGUUUGUCGCGUUGUUCGUGAAAACUCACAGCUUAACUGUGGGCGUGCGGGCGAUACGGGCAGACUAGAGUACUGCAGGGGAGACUGGAAUUCCUGGUGUAGCGGUGGAAUGCGCAGAUAUCAGGAGGAACACCGGUGGCGAAGGCGGGUCUCUGGGCAGUAACUGACGCUGAGGAGCGAAAGCGUGGGGAGCGAACAGGAUUAGAUACCCUGGUAGUCCACGCCGUAAACGGUGGGUACUAGGUGUGGGUUUCCUUCCUUGGGAUCCGUGCCGUAGCUAACGCAUUAAGUACCCCGCCUGGGGAGUACGGCCGCAAGGCUAAAACUCAAAGGAAUUGACGGGGGCCCGCACAAGCGGCGGAGCAUGUGGAUUAAUUCGAUGCAACGCGAAGAACCUUACCUGGGUUUGACAUGCACAGGACGCCGGCAGAGAUGUCGGUUCCCUUGUGGCCUGUGUGCAGGUGGUGCAUGGCUGUCGUCAGCUCGUGUCGUGAGAUGUUGGGUUAAGUCCCGCAACGAGCGCAACCCUUGUCUCAUGUUGCCAGCACGUUAUGGUGGGGACUCGUGAGAGACUGCCGGGGUCAACUCGGAGGAAGGUGGGGAUGACGUCAAGUCAUCAUGCCCCUUAUGUCCAGGGCUUCACACAUGCUACAAUGGCCGGUACAAAGGGCUGCGAUGCCGUGAGGUGGAGCGAAUCCUUUCAAAGCCGGUCUCAGUUCGGAUCGGGGUCUGCAACUCGACCCCGUGAAGUCGGAGUCGCUAGUAAUCGCAGAUCAGCAACGCUGCGGUGAAUACGUUCCCGGGCCUUGUACACACCGCCCGUCACGUCAUGAAAGUCGGUAACACCCGAAGCCGGUGGCCUAACCCUUGUGGAGGGAGCCGUCGAAGGUGGGAUCGGCGAUUGGGACGAAGUCGUAACAAGGUAGCCGUA